UGGGUUGUGGCUCAAUGGUAGAGUGCUCUCCUAGCAUAUGCGGGGCCCUGGGUUCAAUCCUCAGCACCACAU
rnacentral:tRNA from 1 species